AUUGGUGCAUUUUUUGUUGCUAACCCCGCCCACUUGACAUGUCACAUGAUCUAGCCUAGCUUUACUUUGCGGUUCAGUAUUUGCAAACAAACAUUAGCCCGUUUGGUAAAAUACAUAGCACAAUUUUGUUAUUUUCCUACAGGUUCUUUAGCGAUUAGUCCCACCUGGCUAAGGUGCAAUUUCGUCGUGGGGACAAGGCGACAGACGGCCUCAACCCAAACGGAGGUCGUGUUAAACCUCUUCGACCAUUUCGAAGACCAGCACCAUACCCCGUGAGAGAAGACAGGAUGAACGACCACAAAUACUCUGAGUGUAAUGAGUUAGACCAACAGCAUGACUACUCUGGUAACAACGUGGACUAUGAAGGAUAUCAACAAAAUGCUUCUCUCAAGGUUUUACAAUCCAGCUGACAACCGUAGUGCCCUCUACCGGCGGUUCUACAAGCUACUUCACAAGGCACCUGCUGGCUGUGUGGUCCUGUCUGUGAGCAACCAGAGCAUGCGAGUACCUCACCUUCAAGCAAAUAGGGAAUAGCCAUGGGUAUUUAUGCUUUUGCAAAUUUUCUUUGCCCUUGUUGUAAAUGGAGGCCGGUGUUUUGUUGUUUCUCCAGGAGUGAGGAUGAAGAUUUCAGCAAUUGUGGUGAUUGUGUGUGUGUGAAGAGGAAUGAAAAGACCCCUACUCCUGUUGGAUCACUUUUGUGGGAGUUUAACAGUAAUAGUCAAGAAUACCUACAAUGCCUUCAGAAAGUAUUCAUACCCCUUGACUUAUUCCACAUUUUGUUGUUACAGCUUCUAUUCAAAAUGUAUUAAACAUUUUCCUCAUCAAUCUACCCACAAUACCCCAGAAUGACAAAGUGAAAACAUGUUUUUAAAAUUGUUGGUUAUUUAUUGAGAAUGAAAAACUGAUAUAUAAUUUACAUAAAUAUUCACAGCCCUGUGUCAAUACAUGUUAGAAUCGCCUUUUGCAUUUACACCUGUGAUUCUGUCUGGGUACGUCUAAGAGCUUUGAACACCUGAAUUGUACAAUAUUUGCUCACUAUUCUUUUCAAAAUUCUUGAAGAUUUUGGUGGUUGAUGAAUGCUAGACAACCAUUUUAAUGUCUUGCCAUAGAUUUUCUAGCAUAGAUUUUCUAGCAUAUUUUAAGUCAACUGUAACUAGGCCACUCAGGAACAUUCACUAUCUUCGGUGUAGAUUUGACCUUGUGUUUUAGGUUAUUGUUCUGCUGAAAGGGGAAUUAAUCUCCCAGUGUCUGGUGGAAAGCAGACUGAACCAGGUUUUCUUCUUGGAUUUUACCUGUGCUUAGCUCCAUUUCUAUUCUGAAAAACUCCCGAGUCCUUAACGAUUACAAGCAUACCCAUAACAUGAUUCAGCCACCACAAUGCUAGAAAAUAUGGAGGGGUACUCAGUAAUGUGUUGUGUUGGAUUUGCCCCAAACAUAACACUUUCUAUUCACGUCAAAAGUUAAUUGCUUUGCCACAUUUUUUGCAGUAUUACGUUAGUGCCUUAUUGCACACACAAUGCGUGUUUUAGAAUAUUUGUAUUCUGGUCUGGCUUCCUCCUUCUCACUUUGUCAACUAUUUUGCUGUCGCCCUUAACUCACCUGAUUACUUAAUCAAGGGCUAUGUAUAAUUAGUUGAAAUAUACAUGGAACGCCCGGGGAUUCCCGAGGAAAGGUUUGGAGAAUCACUGAUCUGAAUGGUUAAAAGUGCCACCACUCACUUACACGCUACCCAUGUCUUUCUCUCCAGGUUGGCUGGAAAAUGUAAGAUCUAUUUUUAGGAACAGCCUCCCUGUUUUCCUCACAAUCGCUGAUAAAUGAGAAUCUUCUCAUGCAUACAUUUCAUCUCUCUUCCUAAAAAAAAAAAUAUAGAAGACGAUACAAAUCUAAAUUGCACCCAUUUAAACCUGAGACUGACUAACGCUAUCGUUAGGGAUUGUUCGAUUUCCCAUAAUAUGCCAGCUUGAUGUUUUGUUGAAGAUGCAUAUUUCGUUGAUUUCUUGACAUGCCCAUCAGUAACGUUAAUUCAGACAUUCACCACAGACACUCUACAGAACAAAUUGAUGGCAACAUAAGAGUUAUGAAAACUAAAAAUCUCUUGGAGUAAAAACAUGUCAACUCAUGCAAUGCAUGUUCUACUUUUCUGUUCUACUUGUUCUUAUUGCACUCUGGGGGAAAAAAAUAUUUUCUUUCAUCCUCUUCCUGUUCAAUCUCAAGGUCUGACAAGCGAAUAUUGUUCCCGUUUGCCGAGCCGAUGUAGCGUUGAAAUGCAUGUCUAUUCAACUAGACAAACCUGGGAUAUUUCAUGGAAUGGGAUGAAUGAGUUGUACUUUAAACUCACAAAACUGAAUUGAAUGGAGACUGAAGAUCCAUUGACCUAUGGCAGUUUUUGUUUUCCUCGCAGACACUGAGAUUAUUUUCGUACAUAAAUUUGAACUUUCUCUCCAUUAAAAAAAGACCAUACGAAUCCAUACGGCUUCCAUUGAAGAUACCAUACAAAUGUAAACUGCUUCCAUUAAAGAUCUGUUAAGUCUCUGUAGAGCUUAUACACUCAAAACAAUCUGCAUUUUCAAAUAGAAGUUCUGGUAACCUUUUAUUGUAACGUUAGGUUUUAAUGUUGUACAGUAAGUAGCCUGCUUUAGCAAUGCUUUGGUAGCUACUUACACGUGUAAAUAGUAGUAACAGGACAGAAUUCGCUGUCAUUCUUAAAUGCAAACAUAUAAUCAAUUCCAUGCUGAAAAGUUUGACACUCACAAAUAUAAGAAUGUUAGUUGAAUAUAGCCUACCAAAAAAUGCCCAGCCUAAACCCUAUCUACUGAUGUUUUUUAUUUUCCUCAGUGUGCUACGAAGUUGUAUGUUCUCUCAAUGUUAAAUACUGUAAACCCGAAUGUCCUAUUCAAUGACAUCUUUACACUGUUAACUCAUCUUGGUACUUGUGGACAAAAAAUGUAUGCAUACUGUAUUUUGAAAUAGUCACCCCUGCCAAAAAGCAUUGCUGAGCAGGAAAGACCUACAUACUGACUCUGGUGCCUAAAGUUUUGUGGAGAAAUUGAAUAUGUGCAAUGUUAAUCAACAAUAGUCUGUGUUAAUGAAGCAGAGGUUUAAGUUUUAUUAGUCGCAUGGUGUACACUGUCCAAUGAAAUGUAUACGUGCAGGUUCCUUCUGGACAAUGCAACAACAAUAAGAAAAGAUAAGAAUACGAUCAUAAAGUAAAUGGCUCAGUAAAAUAGAUUAAACAUUCAUCCCAAGUAUUGCUAUGAUAUGUGCCUGUUGUGGGCUUCAAGAGACCUCACUGUCCCACCCUCAACAUAUUCUAUAUUACUCACAGUAGACAAGUGGUUUGAAUGACAAUUGUAACUGGUCAGUAUAUGAUGUUCGUGCUCUUUCAACACUGUGGUAAGAUGUUUAAGAACACACAAACGAUUAGCAUAUUUACAAUAAAUGCACAUCAGCAAAUAACGAA